UACGGGGGGAGCAAGCGUUGUUCGGAUUUACUGGGCGUAAAGGGCGCGUAGGCGGUCAGCACAAGUCAGUUGUGAAAUCUCCGAGCUUAACUCGGAAAGGUCAACUGAUACUGUGCGACUAGAGUGCAGAAGGGGCAACUGGAAUUCUUGGUGUAGCGGUGAAAUGCGUAGAUAUCUGGAGGAACACCGGUGGCGAAGGCGGCGUCCUGGACCAACACUGACACUGAUGAGCGAAAGCCAGGGGAGCAAACGGG
rnacentral:rRNA from 1 species